CUUUCAGCAACGGAUCUCUUGGUUCCGGCAUCGAUGAAGAACGCAGCGAAAUGCGAUAAGUAAUGUGAAUUGCAGAAUCCAGUGAACCAUCGAAUCUUUGAACGCACAUUGCGCCCCCCGGUCCUCCGAGGGGCAUGCCCGUCCGAGCGUC
rnacentral:rRNA from 1 species